UACGUAGGGGGCAAGCGUUGUCCGGAAUUAUUGGGCGUAAAGAGCGUGUAGGCGGUCCGGUAAGUCCGCUGUGAAAGUCCAGGGCUCAACCCUGGAAUGCCGGUGGAUACUGCCGGGCUAGAGUCCGGAAGAGGCGAGUGGAAUUCCUGAUGUAGCGGUGAAAUGCGCAGAUAUCAGGAGGAACACCGAUGGCGAAGGCAGCUCGCUGGGACGGUACUGACGCUGAGACGCGAAAGCGUGGGGAGCAAACAGG
rnacentral:rRNA from 1 species